rnacentral:rRNA from 1 species
AGAGUUUGAUCCUGGCUCAGGACGAACGCUGGCGGCGCGCUUAACACAUGCAAGUCGAGCGAGAACCGGUCCUUCGGGACCGGGGAAAGCGGCGAACGGGUGAGUAACACGUGGGUAAUCAACCCUUGACUCUGGGAUAGCCCGGGGAAACUCGGAUUAAUACCGGAUGGCCCAACAGCUCUUCGGGGCGGUUGGAAAAGGUAGCUUCGGCCUCCGGUCAGGGACGAGCCCGCGGCGGAUUAGCUUGUUGGUGAGGUAACGGCUCACCAAGGCGACGAUCCGUAGCUGGUCUGAGAGGACGAUCAGCCACACUGGGACUGAGACACGGCCCAGACUCCUACGGGAGGCAGCAGUGGGGAAUCUUGCACAAUGGGCGAAAGCCUGAUGCAGCGACGCCGCGUGAGGGAAGAAGGCUUUCGGGUUGUAAACCUCUUUCAGAAGGGACGAAGCUCCUCGGGUUAAUAGCCCAGAGGGUGACGGUACCUUCAGAAGAAGCCCCGGCUAACUACGUGCCAGCAGCCGCGGUAAUACGUAGGGGGCAAGCGUUGUCCGGAUUUAUUGGGCGUAAAGAGCGUGUAGGCGGCUGGGUAGGUCCGUUGUGAAAACUCGAGGCUCAACCUCGAGACGCCGAUGGAAACCAUCCAGCUAGAGUCCGGAAGAGGAGAGUGGAAUUCCUGGUGUAGCGGUGAAAUGCGCAGAUAUCAGGAAGAACACCCGUGGCUAAGGCGGCUCUCUAGUACGGUACUGACGCUGAGACGCGAAAGCGUGGGGAGCGAACAGGAUUAGAUACCCCAGUAGUCC